rnacentral:misc_RNA from 1 species
GAGGGCCGUAAAGCAGCGCAGAAAAAAAUUUUUAUUGUUGCUCCCUGCCGCACAAAAGUGCCCCGCGUGUCGAGUCGGGGGAGCAACACAGGCGCACACGCCACCGGGGGGGGGCACGCGCGUGACAUGCAAAGGGGCCCCCCGCCUCCUGCCCCCUACUCCUCCUUCUUCCCUCACAACGGUCACUGCUGCCUCGGCUGCUGCCAUGCCGAGUAGACGCGCUUCGUCAGGUCGGCUCCCUUUCUUUUUUUGUUUGCUCUCAUCUUGCUGUUGGUGUGGGUGGGCCGCUCGCACGCGCCUAGAGGAACGUUUGGGGGGCGGCGUGUGGAGGUUCAUCUUUUUCAUCACCUGCGGCACCCAAAGAUUGUACAUGCAUACAAGGGCAAUAGAAGCACUUCCCCCUCCCCCUCCUCCUACGCCUCCCCACAUAGAGUCGCAUACACGUGGGCGCUGCUUACAUAGAGGAAGAUAAGAAACCCGCCACCACGAGGAAGCAGCGGCACCGCCCUCUCCCUCCCCCCCUCCCCUGUAAUCGUUGUGCUCUGCUCCAAUUUUCGCUUUUCGUUGUUGCCAAAUUUUUGAGCUGAAUGAAAUCACAGCCGCACCGCAUCUCGCCGCAGAGGAUGUCUGCUUCGCUGAGUCGUGCAGCCGACCCGGCAGCACGAGCCACGUUGUCCCCCCCUCUUCCGCCACGUCAGAGCAUCGUGCACGGGCCGCUCCCCACCACGACGGUGAUCACCAUUGUAGAGGGGGAGGUAGCCGCGGACAAAAUCAGCGGCCACCGCCGCCCCGGCAGUGGUAGCAGUGCCACUGUAUCUGCAUCCAUGCGAGACAGGGGCAGCGGCCCUGCUCCGCGGCAAAGCCCUCGGCGACUCCAGCCACCGCCGCAGCACGCACGACGUGCUGCAUCCGUCGUGAAUGACGAAGGUGAAACGGACACCCGCGAGUUGCGGCAAACCCGCUCCCUCUUCCUCUGCGGCCGUGGCCUCCUCUCUCUGCGGCACAUCCAGCACCUGCCCGACAUGUUGUCGUUGCGCUUCCUCAGCGUCCACAUGAACAGCAUCAAGGAGCUCGAGAGUGGGUGCCUGCGCACGCUGCGACACUUGGUGGAACUUGACUUGAGCGCGAAUGAACUGCGAGAGAUACCACCGGGGUGCUGGGACGGGCUUGGACAUCUCGAGCGCCUGAACCUGUCCAGCAACCGGCUGACCCGCCUCGGUCCGGCCGCCUUCAGCUCUCUCGCCUCGCUGCAGUGGCUUUCCCUCGGCUUUAACAGCAUCAUGGAGUUAGCAGGGCUGCGCUCAGUGCCGGCGUCCGCGCCGCUGGCCUACGUGGAUCUGUGCGCCAACCGUAUCGCGACGCUGGACGAGGUCAUAGACGCCCUCACGCCUCACAGAACGCAUCUGCAGGAGCUGCGGCUGGAGUCGCCAUCAUCGCGGUCUUCCAUGACGACAGCGGCGGCAGGCAGCGGCGCCUUUUCUCCGCCCACCACGAUGAACGUGUCUCUCAACGACAGUCAGGACGGUGCAGCCGCCUACUGGCCCAUCGAGGAGAACCCAUGCUGCCUCGCCACGGGCCCUGACACGCAGGACGCGGGCAGCGGUAGCGUAGACGUCAGUGGCGGGGCUGCUGGUGGGCAGGGCAACGGCCGAGUUCACGGCGCCGUCGGCAGUUCACCUUCUGUUGCCAACUACGUGGAGCGGCUCCUGUCAUACUUCCCGCGCCUGCUCGUCGUGAACGGCUUCUCCUACGGCGUGGACCCGUUGCACGCCCUUCGCCAGCAGCGACGCUCUCAGGAGCCGGAAGUUCAGGAGUCGGGGACAAGCGCAGCUGAUGCCAAGGUUGCUGCGGCAGAUGUGUCACCCUUCGCUUCGCUGUGCAACACGGACAAGAGCGCGUGGGGCCGUUCUCUGCUCUGCGCGGGCGGUGCGGAGAGCCCACCGGAAGGGGUGGAGAGACUUGCCGACGGCACACCCGUCAGCGAGGCCUUUGCACGACUGCUGAGGAGACCACUGCCACACCUGCGAGGGUCGUCCUCUUCGCGAUCGCCAUCGUCGGCUUCGUCGGAGGGACCAAAGAAGCGGCGCCGCAGUCGAAACCGCCAUCGCACCGACAGCAGGCAUCAAACGCGCAGCUUAUCGCGGCCCCGUAGCCGCUCUUCUUCAUCUUCUCCUCUUCGAGAGUCGUCUCGGCAUGGCCAUUGUGCAGCGGCUGCACCCGCGGCAGCGACCCGAGCGGAGCAGGACGCGGGCUGGAUGCUGCCUUCAUUCAAGUCAGCAGCGCCUGCCGCGGCAAGCCCACUGCCACCGCAGCAGGACCCGCAAGCAGCAUCUCGAGAAACUCGAGAGGUGGGCGAAGAAAGCGUCGUCGCGGCUGGUGCUGCAAGCAAGAAGGAGGCGCCAUUCCGACAUGGCCGACGGGCCGCUGCCGCGAAGCCGCGCCGCGCUUCUCUGCGCCGUCGCUCGUCGUCAAACGCCUCGUCUCUCGCUACAUCGCCACUCUCCGGCGCUACUUCCUCUCCGUUCGCAGUGUCACCUUCGGCACCGCAAGAGCGUUAUCGCGAGCGCGAGCCCAAGACAGUAGUGUCGUCAUCGAGCAGAGCGACCCCGCAUGCACGCAAGCUGCGCUGCGAGGUAGCGACACUGACGUCGGCCACAGAAGCGUUUUGCACACCCUCUGCAACACCAUCAACGGGGCCGCGGAUGCCCUCUGCCGACAAGAGCUCCGACCUGGCUCCUUCUCUGAUGUCCCCUUCCCCCGCUGAUGUCACCGAUACCAGCGACAUCUCGCCGCCUGCCGCGGCAGCGCGUGGGCAAUGUGAGCAUCGCGGCAGCGACGGCGAGAAUCACCAGAAGAACGACAGACUUGUCGCUACCACAGGCAGUGGAACUGGCGUGCGUGUCGCUUCCAAGGACCGGGCGACUCUCGACCCGCCGCCGCCUCUUACAGGCGUCGGCUCAGCCGCGGCGCUGCGGUGGAAGCCGAAGCAGGUGUCCCGUGGGACCUGCACAGAGCAGGGCGCAGAGACGCUAUCGACGGUGUCGCGUGAUGCGGAGCUAGCGGCAAAGGUGGAUCAGUUGCAGGAGCAGCUUGCGCUCCGUACCACCACCAUCAGCGAUCUGCGUCGACACCUCGACCUCACCCGGACGCAGUACGUCGAGGGGCAGCGUGAGGCACAGCAGCGGCAGCAGCAGCUCCGCAGUCAGGUAUCCGCGCUGAAGGACGAGCUGGCGCGGCGGGCCGAGGAGGCGACAAUAUUGCAGCGCAAGCAGCAGGCGCAACUGAAUCGAGCCGUCGACUCUGUCAAAGCAGAGUGGGUGCGACGGCUCGAGGCGGCAGAGCAGCACAGCGCUGAGGCGUAUGCGGAGGCGACGGCAGCGUGGGAGGUGCGUCUAGCACGUGCCGAGGAACAGCAGCUGCAUAUGCAGCAGACGGUCGCUGUGAAGUCUGCGCAGCUUGCGACGCUCGAGCGGCAAACGCACGCUAUGGAGGCGGAGAUGCAGGCUAUUCGAGGCUGCUUUGUUACGCAGCAGCGCCACUGGGCUGCGCGGACUGGGCUGCUGCUCGCCGAGGCGGACAAGCGGCGCACGCUGGAAGCCGCGGCGGUAGCCUCACUUGCGCAACUGUGUCGCUCCUUCUCCGACGCAGCCGUACGCCUUCAUACAGAGUCGCUGCGCGAGGCUGAAAGAGGCCGAGCGCUCGCGGAGGAGGCGCUGCGAGAGCAGCAAGCCACGUGGAGGGCGCAGGUGGCCGCUUACGAGGACGCUAUGCGCCAUGCUGCGUCCGAAGUGCGCCAUGCUGUCGCGGGGCGGCACGGAGCAGCUUACUUGUCACCGCUUUCACCGACAUGUGCAUUGCCUGCCCUGCCCGAGGCGCCGCCGCUGUCUUUGGUCACCAUCCCAUCCCCGACGCUUGCAGGCGUGCCAGCCCCGCAGCACGAGCCGCUCGCGCUUAGCGACCAAAGCAGCAACAAGCAGGUCGUCAACGCACAAGCCGAUAUGAAAGAGAGGGUCGACAUGAAAGAGCGGACGCCGCUGGAGGUGGAGAGGACAGCUGCAGAUGGCAGUGCCCUGGUGUCGACAUCUACCACCGAGUCUCUACGUGUGGCCCAGGGAGAGGACAGUGGCUGCGACGCAGGUGCGGAAUGCGGGGCUGCUUCCAGUGAGCUGAAGCAGGUGGUUGGCGUGAAUGACAGGGGCACUCUGAUCGCUUACUGGCGGUGCGCGUGCGCGCGUGUCGAAGCGCAACUGCAUCGCGUGGAUGCUGCCCUGCACGUCGCCACUCUCACGCAGCAGUCCAUGGCGGCGGAGAACACACGUCUGCUCAGUCACGUCGAGGCACUAGAAGCAGAGAAGAAGGAGGCGCUGGCAGCCCGCCACUCCACGUCUGAGGCUGCCGUCCAGGAGCGGGACAACUUGCUGCGCACGCUGCACACAUUACGAGCUGACAUGGAGCGGAAGGACGCCGCCUUGGACGCGCUGGAGGAGGAGGCACGCGCGAAACUGAAUGAGAAGCGCCACCGCAUCGCCGAGCUCGAGGACGCUGUCGAGGCGCUCACAACGCAACAGGCGCGCGCAACAGAGGUGAACGUGUCCACGCGCGGACAGCUGGAGGCAGCGCAGGCGACGGUGACACGCCUGCAGCAGGAACUGGCCGACACGAAGGAGCGGUGCAAAGCGGUGGCUCAGCAGCAGGUGGAGCAGGUACCAGACCUAGAGCGGAAGCAGCGUGAGCUUUCCGAGCUGCUUGCCACCCGCAACGCCGAGGCCCACCAGCAUCAGCUGGAGAAGAAGGCACUGGUGCACGCGCUUACUAUCGCGCGAGAGCAGCUGGUGCGGCUGUACGAGUCACACCAGCUCCUCUGCAGUGCGCACGCGAGCGCCAGGGAGCAGAUCACGCAGCUACAGGCGAAGCUCGAUACAGCGCAGCGGCAGGUGCAUGAAGUCCAAGAGGCGACCCGCGCAAAGCAGAAGGCCACCUUCGAAGUGCUUUCACACUUGAUGACAAACAACACGCUCUAGCCGCACGAGAUGGGUGGGAAGGGAGGAGGAUGAGGGUGUGCGUGUGUGCGUGUGUGCGUGUGUGCGUGCUAAAUGAAGGCACAGCUUAUCCGUCUUUCCACAUCCUUUCUGUGUUUUGCACGCGUUUGCUGGGGCUGGAGCCAGCUCAUGCGCGCUGCGCGGAGACACCCACGCAAGACGCGAGACCGCACUGG